AAAGAGCCACAAUGGUAACUUAUAUAAGGUGUAAGCUAACCAUGUAGCAGCCUUUCACUCGUCAGACUCAUUGGUGAGGAGUUCGUUUACUUCGAUGUGCAAUGCUUUAGUUUUAUAGCGUCAUUCCCUUCGAUGUCACAGCAUCAUGUACGUAUGUAUCAUAGUUUUCACCUUUUUAGAUAAGGGCUUAACAUGGAUAAUGCCGAGCACACGUAGUUUUAUGACUUGCCUUUAGCCAUUGAACACGUGUUAGCUUAAUCACUCAGAACUACUUCCCGAGACUGUUUUAAACUAGUCUGGUUCGUUUGUUGAUUUAAACGAAUCGUGCAAUGAGGCUUGAAUAAAUUUGAGGGUGUGGAUCAAGUCAGUUUAUGGAGAUUAAACAGCUCUGACCAGGUGAGUUAGCCUACUACCGGAUAUUCUCCGUGUUAGCCAGAGCUAGCCAUGUGUAACGAUGUAAAAACCAUGUAAGUAAUUAGAAUCUGAUCUUUCUAAUUGAGUAGAUCUGCUUUAGCUACACGUUGAGUUUUUAAACUAGCUCAAAAACCCCAAAUAUCCACUUUGUGUUUUUUUAGACUAUGCGGUCUGUGGAUGACUGCUGUGCUUGAGCUUCAGUGCACAUCUGUGUAUGAAUGACAAUUUUUCAGGGGACGGCAUCUGAAAGGAUAUUUCUGCAGCACAGAGAAUGCAGUGUGAUUUUUCUGUUUCACCAACAAUGGAUUCCUUAUCAAGGAGCUGACUUCUUCCAUCCUGCAAAGCCACAAACUCCGUCAGAAGACUCCGGUGUGUGAAAAGCUGAAUCUGGUAAUGGGAAGUGUUUUUUUUUUUUUUUUAAGUUUGUUAAGUUUGUUUCAGAAGCUCAGUCCAGCGCUUCUCAAAGAACUUCCUCAUGUUAUGACCGGCUCGACCAAUGUCUGAAUUGUCUUCAUUGAACUUUUCACAGUUAUCAAACACCAAGUUGACGUCAAUGAUGAAAGUCUCCAGGUUUUGAUACCUGAAAAAUAAGAGGAAAGAAAUGAUUUUUUGAUGAUAAAGUACCCACAGCUAAGGCAGCACACUAGAAGAGAAACAUCUCUGGGUUUAAAACAUUUAAAAGCCCUGAAAGCUUUAGGAGUAAAAAGGAAAAACAGAAGCGACGAGAACUCACUGGCUGCUAACAAGCUUCUCACGUAUGGUGGAGAAGUCCAUGGGCUUCUUGAUGACCUUCUUGUAGCCGGGGACUGACUUCAGGUUGACAGGAGUGAGGAACGGCCAUGCAUCCUGAUGCCGCUCCAACUCUGCCAGAAGCACUCUAAUGACACACAGAAACUUUAAGCUACUGCUGGAGUUUUCUUUACAGCGAACUUUUGUGUUUUCAGUUUUUUAAGUAUGUAUGUAUAAAAUGUAUCUGCUGUAAUUCUUGAUGGUUAAAUAAAACACAAAAAAGAAAAACUCAACAAUAAUCCCAGAGACACACACCUGCACAAUCCCAGGUCCCUGUUGUUGUCCCUUGCUGUCUUGGCUCGCUUAACACACACUGGGCUCUCCUGAUUGGCCGGUGUCAGAGCAGGUGAGCUAUCCUCGGUUUUCCUCUUCCUGCUUGUGUCUUUUACUCCUUUCUUGGGUGUGCUGGUGGCACUGGCCGAAUCCUCCUCUGACGCUUCCCCGUUACCCGUUUGCUUCCCGUUCUUUUUGGUCUCCCCCCCUUUUUUACCUCCCCCUCCACUCGAAGUGACUGGUUUAGCUGGAGGCUUUUUGCUCUUCGGGGACGGACCGCUCGCCUGGAAAAUUAAACAAUGAGUUAAAAGUCAAAUAAUACACACAGUAAUAAUUAUUAGUGUUUUUGAAGAAUUCCUAAACUUUUAACUUAUUGGAUUUGAAGUAAACACAGAUGGAGGUAGUUUUAUUAAUAAUUAUUGCCUGAAUUAAAGAAAAAAGCAACAGUUAUUUGACAAAAGGCUGAUUUUAUUCCUGCUAGUGAGAGUGAAUAUAAAAAAAGCUUUAGUUACCGAGGAGAUGCAGGCUGGACAGUACCAGUCUCCUUCUGGGAUGCUGGUGAUUUUGGGUUUGUGACAGUAGGUGUGACACCCUUUGUCACAGCCAUCACACAACAGGAGGAGGUCCUCAUUAUCUCCCUUUUUGCAAAUCUGACAGUACUAAAAAAAAAAAAAAAGCUCUGUCCAUUAAAGCAAACAUACAAUCCCUGAUAAACGUUUAUGCUUAGACUGGAACGUUUUCCUACCACUUUCAUGAUGGAUCUCUCCCAAGCGAUAGACUUCUGCAGCUGCUGGAUGCACAUGGCCAGCUGGGCGGCACUGCGCACCUCAGUCAGGGCCUUCCUCCACACCUUCAUACCGUGGGCCACCUCCUCCUCGCCACUGAGAAAGGACAAGAUGACAAGAAAAGAAUAAAGGGACGCCAACUCACAUAAUAUGUGGGAUUAUUUAAACAUAAGUGUUUGGUAUCAGUUGAAAAGUUGCCAGCAAAACAGCAGACCACUCAGAGUUCUAGUUGUGCAGAAACAGGCAUGAGGAUUGAGGGGUGUAGGGGUGCUGGGGAGGAGUACAAACCAGUUUUAUUACGGUAGGGGGGUGCUCAUGCAGAAAGCAUAAGUCUAAACUGUGUAUUAGAGGUAUGUUUAUAACUGAGGUUACAGAGGCACAACACCAUGCAGAUGACUGGAGGAAAAAAAACUGAAACUGGAACUGAAUGGAGCCCCCCCCCCCCAACACCCAAGAAAACGGCACAAGACCAAAAAAAUGACAACACAAAUGUGACAAGCCACCACAAAAGGUGCUGAAAGCAGCAAAGACCCGUGUCUUAUAGGAAACAUGAAGCACACACAGAGGGAGAAGGGGUCUUAGUGGGACAGUGGGAGCUUUGGUUGGAGAGAUGACCUACCCUUCCCUGUCAGCACUAGUGGAUGGGGCGGGGGCAGGGACAGUGACCGUACCCACAUUAUCCAGCCUGAUCUGAAUGGUGGUACCUAAGGGGCUCCUCAGGUACCUUCUCUCGAUGUUGCGCUCCAGAUCAGCCAGACGUGUCACUGCUAUGUCCAGAGGGUUGUCUGGGUGACGCAUCACCCCGCCCUUCUCCCCGCGCUCCUCUAGAUGCUCCUUGGAGUCCCGGGAGUCCUUGUCUGCUGCGCUUGCUGAGGCUGGUGCUGAUUUGGUGGGGGGCUUGUGCUCGUAGUAGACCAGGUCCUCCCGCUCAGACUGAGGGUCCACAUAUGUCCAGCCCUGAGAUGAAAACAAGCAGUUUGACAACGUUAGCUGGGAUGCUACUGAACACGUGAAAACAGAUUAGUGCUCCGGUCUUGAUCGCUAUUCACCUUGACCUGCAGACUGGCUGCCGUGACCUUCCUCUCUAGCUCCUCAACCUGCUGCAGCAUAGCGAUAUCCAUUUCCAUGGCCUGCUCCUCCACACACCACCCGCGCACAGACUCCACACUGACCUGACUCUCCUCCAGCUCAUGGAGCUCAAUCAUGGCUACUAGAUGAAAAACAUGACAGCUGUCAGUCUGGCAUUGGUUGACUCUGCAGGUGGACUUUCAACUUAAAUGAUAAAGAGGGAUAAUUAUCAGCAUGCCAAUUGAAAGCAGAGUAAACCGUGUUAUUUACCAUCUUUGUGUUUGGUGCAGACCUGAGGAAUUAUCUCCAGAUACUUCUGAAUCUGCCGGUGGAGGACCUUCUCUCGGAUUCCUCGGCUGUGGAGCGAGUCGACCAGAGACCUCAGCUGUUCGAUGUGAGACACCCGCCACCAACCUGUCAGCAAAUCUGAGAAGAAAAACGGCAACAGGCACGUCAGCUAGAGUGCAUUUAAACAUACAUCAGCGUUUUUAGGAGAAACAUUUUACUGAUGGUACUUUACUUUCUCCCAACACCGUUAACCACCUACCCUCUGGGAUGGGCCGAGGCACAGAGUAGUCGAUGGACUUUGGCAUCUCCAAGGCGGGGGAGGGCAUGGACGAGCUUUUCUCGAUGCGAGAGAACAUUUCAACAACUCCACCUUCUCCACUCUCCAUGGCUUCAAUGAAAACUCCUCCGCAGUGUGGCAGAACCCAGUACCGACGGCGGUAGCGGUCCUGUCCGUACAUCAUGGAGCGAAGAGAAUGAGAGAUCUCAAAGAGCUUUUUUCUGGUCUGAUGAUGUUGCUGGAAUGAUAAAAAACAACCAUACUGAUUGUAAAAGGCUCCUACAGAACAAAAGCUCUUCGAUGCUGGUGGCCUGGUCGACUUCAUCCUGAUGGGACAAAUAAUCACAGAAUGUCUGAGAGUAAAAAAACGCCAGUUUUGAGGAUUUAAUAAUAUGUGUGUUUUGGACUUUACCUCCUCAACAGUCUCCACUUUUUUAACCUUUUUAAUUUCUUCCUCCUCCUCGUCGUCGUCCUCAUCUGCUGGGUCAUCACUGUCGUCAUCAUCAUCGUCGUCAUCAUCGCUGUCGGCACCCAGCUUUCUCUUGCGUUUGGCAGCAGAAGACGGCGUGCCGAUGGACUGGUUCUCCUCCGCGCCCAUGCUGGCCUCCCUUUUCCCGGUUCGUUUGGCAUAAAUGGUCCUCAGUCUGCGUAGACACACAGCGGUUUAGUGCCAGACUCGGGUUUUUUAAAGUGCCUUUCAGAAGGAAUACCCCUCACUUUUUCAGUUUUCCCUCCAUGAUAAUUUUGUCUUUCCUCAUGUUUGCCAUCUGAUCCAGGUUCUUGUCGAUCUCACUGCAACAGCAAAGGAAAACCUGUUAAUCAUACUUGUAUUCAUUCAGACCUCUGCCGAUCUCAUGAACAGUAUAAACACAGCACAAUAAAGCUCAAUGUGACUGGAAGCUAUUUAUGACCAACAGGGAAAAAUAGCUGGCGCCUGUGAGCGCGAAUGAUUACAUGUAUAAUUCUCAGAGAAGAACUUCAGCUUUAUUGAUUGUUUUCUGUGGCACAAAUAAAAUAUACAAUUAUUACUUGACAAAUAACCAGAGCAUUAAGUCCUAUAAAGGAACAGAAGCAGUGGAUUCAUAUUUCUCUUUAUUUAUUUGACUCCAGUAGGAAGCAAAAGUUGUGUCAUGCCCUUUUGAACCAAGCAGAGUACAUUUAGCUGUUGCUCCUACCUGAUCACAGCUUUGCUGCAGGCCAGCUCAUUAGCCAGGAACCCCAGGAUUGAUGCCUUCUGAGCAGGUGUGUGAGCCUGGAAGGCUUUGGUCUUGAGACUGAGGGCCAGAGGAGCCAGGUCUGUGUUGGCACAAUGGGAACUCAUAUACAUCUGCAGCACCUCAGAUACGUUAUCUCUGUUGAUGCCGACAUUGGUCAAGUGGUCUCCCAGCAUUGUUUUGGUCUGAUUGAGAAAAAGAAAGACAUUGAAUAAUUAAGCUUAUAUUCUAAUUUAAAGACACUAAACAUUUUUGUCAUCUUUGCAGUUUUGUUGUGAUCUGAUCUUAAUGCUCCUAUUCACUAAUUUCAGUAUUUUAACAAUGGUCUCUAGUGUGAAGCAACAUGUUGUGAGUCGAUCACGUGGUUAGAUCUCUGAUUUCUCCCGGUCACUAACAGCAGCCUUUCCUGUCGUGAACCUAGCAGGCUCACCUUGUGUCCAGGUGGCAAACCGGGAUCGCAGACAGCAAGAGACAGCAGUUUGACUAAAAGGUCUUGAACUUGGCCCAUGCUGUCCCCCACAUUGAGCAAGCCCUCCUGCAGCAUUCCCAGCGUGGGGACAUCCGCAUUCAAGUCAAGUCCUAAAACUUUUCCGAAGCCUCGUAAGAACUGCAUCAGCAUCAGGCAGUCUGACACGG